rnacentral:misc_RNA from 1 species
UAACCACUCAAGCCUCGGCUUGGUAUUGGGGUUCGCGGUCUCGCGGCCCUUAAAAUCAGUGGCGGUGCCGUCUGGCUCUAAGCGUAGUAAUUUCUCUCGCUAUAGAAUCCGGGUGGUUACUUGCCAAAAUCCCCCAUUUUUUAA